rnacentral:misc_RNA from 1 species
GAUGAAGAACGCAGCAAAAUGCGAUAAGUAAUGUGAAUUGCAGAAUUCAGUGAAUCAUCGAAUCUUUGAACGCACAUUGCGCCCCCUGGUAUUCCGGGGGGCAUGCCUGUUCGAGCGUCAUUUCACCACUCAAGCCUCGCUUGGUAUUGGGCAACGCGGUCCGCCGCGUGCCUCAAAUCGACCGGCUGGGUCUUCUGUCCCCUAAGCGUUGUGGAAACUAUUCGCUAAAGGGUGUUCGGGAGGCUACGCCGUAAAACAACCCCAUUUCUAAGGUUGACCUCGGAUCAGGUAGGGAUACCCGCUGAACUUAAGCAUAUCAAAAGCGGAGGA